GACGAACGCUGGCGGCGUGCCUAAUACAUGCAAGUAGAACGCACAGUUUAUACCGUAGCUUGCUACACCAUAGACUGUGAGUUACGAACGGGUGAGUAACGCGUAGGUAACCUGCCUGGUAGCGGGGGAUAACUAUUGGAAACGAUAGCUAAUACCGCAUAAUAUUGAUUAUUGCAUGAUAAUUGAUUGAAAGAUGCUAUUGCAUCACUACCAGAUGGACCUGCGUUGUAUUAGCUAGUAGGUGAGGUAACGGCUCACCUAGGCGACGAUACAUAGCCGACCUGAGAGGGGGAGCGGCCACACUGGGACUGAGACACGGCCCAGACUCCUACGGGAGGCAGCAGUAGGGAAUCUUCGGCAAUGGACGAAAGUCUGACCGAGCAACGCCGCGUGAGUGAAGAAGGUUUUCGGAUCGUAAAGCUCUGUUGUAAGAGAAGAACGGGUGUGAGAGUGGAAAGUUCACACUGUGACGGUAUCUUACCAGAAAGGGACGGCUAACUACGUG
rnacentral:rRNA from 1 species